rnacentral:tRNA from 1 species
GCCGACGUAGCUCAGUGGUAGAGCAGUAGUUUUGUAAACUAUUGGUCGUGGGUUCGAAUCCCUCCGUCGGCUCCA